CAAGCCGAGGGGGAAAAAAAAGUCACGUCUCUUACAAACGUGAGUACUAGUACAAUAAAGUAUACCCUUGCUUAUUAGGGGUCAAAAAUAAUGACAGUUUUGCACUGUUUGCGACAGCGACUUUUCGAUUGCACAUGGAGGGUUAAAUGAUUGUAUGACUGAUCUGUGGGCGGGUUUUACAGUCGACCUCCCUCUCUCUUCAGUUCACCCAUCAGUUCAGUGUACCACUGCAGUUCAGUAGCACUGUAGUGUCCUGCAGCGUCAUGGCAGAAUGUCCAAAAAAAGAAAAUACAAAACGCACUUCACUUCAGACUACACUAAAGUGUACCCCUGCUUAAUAGGGGUCAAAAAUAAUGGCAGUUUUGCUCGCUGCACUGUUUGCAACAGCGACUUUUCGAUUGCCCAUGGAGGGUUAAAAGAUUGUAAGAGACAUGUUGAGGGCUGCCUAAUGAACUAAAGAAUAAACAGGAGCUGAUCACACUUUUGAGUGUGGUAAUCUUCACCAGCACUGCACAACAGGCAGCAACCAACAACGGACAGUUUGACUUUUGUUCGUGGAUGCCCAACACACCUUGCACCAUGUGCCAUCCUCCACCCAUAGACAAGGACAGUGUCACUAUGGAUUUGGAGUCAUGAACACACUCCCGGAUGUCAGACAGUCAUGGAGAUGGCUAUCACAUGGCUUUUAGGAAGAACUCAGCCAGACGGAAUACCUCUGGCACAGUACGAGGAACAGAACUUCACUGAGCCGGCAGCCCAAAAGAUGAUUGAUAACUUCAGGCAGGAUCUGAAAGACAUCGAACCACCGCAUCUCUAUCUGUGCCCUAGCCGAAUAGAGAACAGCAUUACCAUAUUACUAUAUAAAUUCUACAAUUUAUGAUGAUGUACUUCAUGGUUAAGAGAGGUACAGACAUUUUGAAAGGUACAUUUUGAGAAGGUUGUUUGAAACAAGAAGAAUAUACUCCUAAGUUACAGAAACUUAUUGGUGAUUGUUGUAAAGCUACCCUCACCAUUCACUUUAUUAGGAACACCAGGUCAGGUGGCAGUAGCACAAUGCAAAAAACUUCAGUUAAUGUUCACAUCAAACAUGAGAAUAUGAAAAGGUGUGAUCUCAGUGCAUAGCUGCUUUUGGAACAGGUCCACUAAUCUUUAUUGAUGAUGUAAAUCAUGAUGGUAGCAGCAGAAUGAAUUCAGUAGUUUAAAUGAAGAUUUUGUCUCCCAAAUGCCAAGUUACAGAGAAAUGCAUCCAAAUUAAUCGGAAGGAACUUUAUCAAGACAAUGAUCGAAUCUUAACAAAGGACUUUAUCAGGGCUAAAAAGUGGAAGGUUUUAGACUGGCCAAGUCAAUCACCAGACCUUAACCCAAUUGAGCAUGCAUUUCACCUCCUGAAUAGGAGACUGAAGGGAGAAGCUGAAACAAACAACAACUGAAAGAGGCUGCGGUAAAAGCCUGGAAAAGCAUCACAAAAGAACAAACCAACAAUUUGGUGAUGUCAGUGAGUCGCAGGCUUGAUGCAGUUAUUGCAAGCAAGGGAUAAGCAACCAAAUAUUAAGCAUUAUUUACUUUAAUUUACUUUAAAACUUAUAUGUUCCUAUACUUUUGCUCACCUAAAAAUUGGGUGGUCUGAUACAAAAAGUUCUAUAGGUUCUAAAGGUUCACAUCUAGAUGUAAAUACCAGGAAAUGAGUUGUUCCAAGCCUGCCUCCAGCGUCCUCAUUAUCUGCCCGAACUUGGGAAAUUGUUACACUGACCCAUUCAGUGUCUGUUGCUCAGUACACCAGUGGAUUCUUUCUUUUUCAGAACAUUCCAAAUUGUUGUAUUUGUUGUAAUGUUUGUGCAAUGCCUCUGAUUGAUUUUCCCUCUUUUCUCAGUUUCAAAAUAGCUUGCUUUUCUUCCAUAGACAGCUCUUUGAUCUUCAUGUAGGCUUAUCCUUUAUAACAACAAAUGCAGUCUUCACAGGUGAAACUGAAGGCUAAAACCAAGAGUAGAUGUUCAGAGCUAUUUGUUUAAACAAUCAGUCUAACAGGACACAUCUGGGUAACAAGAAACACCUGUCAGUCACAUGUUCCAAUAUUUUUGCUCACCUACAAAUUGAGUGGUCUGAUAUAAAAUGUGCUACAUAUAAAUACCAGGAAAUAAAAGCUGAAAUUCUAAACUCUUGAUCUCAAACCCAAAUGUCUUUGGUGUACAGCACAAACAAAUGAAUUGGCCUUGCCGUUCCAAUAGUUUCGGAGGGGACUGUAUAUAAAGAACAACAACAUUGGAUGGGAUCUUGAGACAAAAAAGCAGACAAAGUAAUACAAAUAGGGGUAUUUAAGUAAUAACCAGCCCGUCAAUUUAAAGCCAGAUAAAGUACAGAAAAUAGGACUUAUACACUGAUCAACUCUAACAUUAAAACCACCUGCCUAAUAUUGUGUAGAUCCCCCUUGUGCAGCCAGAACAGCUCUAACCCAUUAAGGCAUGGACUCCACAAGACCUCUGUAGGUGUGCUGUGGUAUCUGGCACAAGUCAUUAGCAGCAUAUCCUUUAAGUCCUGUAAUGUCAUUGUCAAUGUUUAUUUAUAGAGCACAAUCAACAGUUGACCAAUGUGAUGUACAAUGAAAACAAACUACAACAACAGAACAUAAAAUAUACAACAUAACAACACACUGUAUAACAAUAACAAAUAAGUCCAUAUUGAUUAUAAGCUAAAGAGAGCUGCAAGUUGUGGCCACCUUCUUCCAUUGCUCCGUGGUCCAGUUCUGAUGCUCACAUGCCCAUUGUAGGUGCUUUCGGCGGUGGACAGGGGUCAGCAUGAGCACUCUGACAGGCCUGCGUCUAUGCAGAUGCACUGUGUGUUCUGACAUCUUUCUAUCAUAGCCUUUUUCUAUCAUUGACUUUUUCAGCAAUUUGUGCUGGAAGACAAAAAAAAAACAAAAGAAAAUGCUGCCCACUGCUCCGGGUGUGUGUUCACUACUGUGUGUGUGUGUGUGCACUUGGAUGGGUUAAAUGCAGAGCACAAAUUCGGAGUAUGGGUCACCAUACUUGGCUACACUUCACUUCACUGUGGGAUCAGACCAGAUGGGCUAGCCUUUGCUCCCCAUGUGCAUCAGUAAGCCUUGGGAGCCCAUGACCCUGUCACUGGUUCACCAGUUGUCCUUCCUUGGACCAAUUUUGGUAGGUACUGACCACUCCAUACCAGGAACACCUAACAAGACCUGCUGUUUUGGAGAUGCUAUGACACAGUCUAACCAUCACAAUUUGGCCCUUGUCAAAGUCGCUCAGAUCCUUAUACGCUUGCCCAUAUUUCCUGCCAACACAUCAACUUUGAGAACUGACUAUUCACUUGCUGCCUAAUAUAUCCCAGAUCUUGAUAGGUGCCAUUGUAAUGAGAUAUCCAAUGUUAUUCAGGUCACCUGUCAGUGGUUUUAAUGUUAUGGCUGAUCAGUGUUUACCAGCGGCUAUUACCCCCAGUCCUCACCCAGUCCCUCCAUUAAGGGUGUCCAUUUCUCCAUAAACUGAUUCAUUUGAAAUCUUAAACUGUGUGUUAUCUUUUCCAUCACAUAAAUCUCCCCCAUUGUCCGCAUCCAUUCCUGAAAUGUUGGUGAUAUUUCUGGAGCCAUUUAAUUGUAAUAUUCUUCUUGGCAGCUACCAAAUGUAUU